rnacentral:rRNA from 1 species
GACGAACGCUGGCGGCGUGCCUAAUACAUGCAAGUCGAACGCAGUUGCGAACGGGUGAGUAACGCGUAGGUAACUGCCUCAUAGCGGGGGAUAACUAUUGGAAACGUUAGCUAAUACCGCAUACUGUGAGAUGGACCUGAGGUGGAUUAUCUAGUUGGUGAGGUAAAGGCUCACCAAGGCCACGAGGCAUAGCCGAACUGAGAGGGUGAGCGGCCACACUGGGACUGAGACACGGCCCGGACUCCUACGGGAGGCAGCAGUAGGGAAUCUUGGGCAAUGGACGAAAGUCUGACCGAGCAACGCCGCGUGAGUGAAGAAGGUUUUCGGAUCGUAAAGCUCUGUUGUUAGAGAGGCGUUAUCUAACGAGAAAGCCACGGCUAACUACGUGCCAGCAGCCGCGGUAAUAC